ensembl:snoRNA SNORA70 Small nucleolar RNA SNORA70
UCGCAGCCAGUUAAGCCGACUGUGCUCUUUUCCCCAUGGGGGCCUGGUGUGCAGUGGCUGCAAACACAGGCUCCUUGGUAGUGUAGUGUAUGAGCCUGUUGCCAGUAUGCGUUGCCCUAAGGGAUGUUGGAUUCAGCC